rnacentral:rRNA from 1 species
AUUGAACGCUGGCGGCAGGCCUAACACAUGCAAGUCGAACGGUAACAGGAAGAAGCUUGCUUCUUUGCUGACGAGUGGCGGACGGGUGAGUAAUGUCUGGGAAACUGCCUGAUGGAGGGGGAUAACUACUGGAAACGGUAGUUAAUACCGCAUAACGUCGCAAGACCAAAGAGGGGGACCUUCGGGCCUCUUGCCAUCGGAUGUGCCCAGAUGGGAUUAGCUAGUAGGUGGGGUAACGGCUCACCUAGGCGACGAUCCCUAGCUGGUCUGAGAGGAUGACCAGCCACACUGGAACUGAGACACGGUCCAGACUCCUACGGGAGGCAGCAGUGGGGAAUAUUGCACAAUGGGCGCAAGCCUGAUGCAGCCAUGCCGCGUGUAUGAAGAAGGCCUUCGGGUUGUAAAGUACUUUCAGCGGGGAGGAAGGGAGUAAAGUUAAUACCUUUGCUCAUUGACGUGACCCGCAGAAGAAGCACCGGCUAACUCCGU